rnacentral:rRNA from 1 species
UAACUGGGCGCCUCGGCCUGAAGCCUUGCGGUGUGUCGGGUAACACCGGCAUACUGCUUAGCAGUCGGACAUAACCGCCGGAGUGUACGGCCCGUCGUGUCGGCUUUAACCGGUCGGUACGGCGGACGGACACAAUCAAAUCGGCCGGGGUGCUCUUAACCGAGUGUCUCGGUCGGCCGGCAAACGUUUACUUUGAACAAAUUAGAGUGCUCAAAGCAGGCUGAUCUUAGCCCUGAAUAUCGCAGCAUGGAAUGAUGGAAUAGGACCUCGGUCUUAUUUUGCUGGUCUUUUUCUCAUAGACCCGAGGUAAUGGUCAAUAGAGACGGACGGGGGCAUCCGUACUGCGGCGACAGAGGUGAAAUUCUUGGACCGCCGCAAGACGAACGACAGCGAAGGCAUUUGCCAAGAAUGUUUUCCUUGAUCAAGAACGAAAGUUAGAGGUUCGAAGGCGAUCAGAUACCGCCCUAGUUCUAACCAUAAACGAUGCCGACCAGCGAUCCGCCGGUGUUACUCCCAUGACUCGGCGGGCGGCUUCCGGGAAACCAAAGUCUUUGGGUUCCGGGGGAAGUAUGGUUGCAAAGCUGAAACUUAAAGGAAUUGACGGAAGGGCACCACCAGGAGUGGAGCCUGCGGCUUAAUUUGACCCAACACGGGAAACCUCACCAGGCCCGGACACUGGAAUGAUUGACAGAUUGAGAGCUCUUUCUCGAUUCGGUGGGUGGUGGUGCAUGGCCGUUCUUAGUUGGUGGAGCGAUUUGUCUGGUUAAUUCCGAUAACGAACGAGACUCUAUCCUGCUAAAUAGGUGGCGGGUUUCUAUGCCUCCGAGUGCGGCGGCGGGCGCAAGCCCGUCGCCGUACGAAGGGGAAACUUGGGUGCGGUGGCCGACGGGACCAGGGCCGCGUGUUUGUCGGUCUCGAGUGCGUGGGUCAAACUGCGUAUUUGGGGCCGGCGGGCGCGUAGCUCCCCCGGCGAUACCACCGUACUCGCGCCCGUCACGUCUCUUCUUAGAGGGACAAGCGGCGUCCAGCCGCGUGACAGUGAGCAAUAACAGGUCUGUGAUGCCCUUAGAUGUCCUGGGCCGCACGCGCGCUACACUGAAGGAAUCAGCGUGUUUCAAUCUCCCUGUCCGAAAGGACCGGGUAACCGCUGAACCUCCUUCGUGGUUGGGAUUGGGGACUGCAAAGAUCCCCAUGAACCAGGAAUCCCUAGUAGGCGCGGGUCACUAGCCCGCGUCGAUUACGUCCCUGCCCUUUGUACACACCGCCCGUCGCUACUACCGAUUGAAUGAUUUAGUGAGGCCUUCGGACGGGCCCGUCGGGGGAGUGUUCCCGUCGUCUUCGCGGAUGGCGGGCGCGCGCCCUACCAACGGCGG